UUGUGUUUUUUUUUUUGCGUCCUUUGAGCACCAGUUCCUUCUUCUCCGGUUCUUCUCUCCCUAUCCUCGUCUCCGCCUCUCUGUCCCUGUCAUUGUCUCUCCUACUUCACUCUACAAAACCCUAGAAUUUGCAACUCCUGUGUGUACUGGGGAUGAAAUUCUAGGGUUUUGGUUAGAGGAGCACAGAUGGCGUUGAGAAUUCAAGUAAAGGAGAGGGAUUUGGAGAAGGGACUGAACCCUAACACUUUUGCUGAGCCAUUGCCUUCGCCGUCCCCUACGCCGCGGGCUUUGGUUCUAUCCAAUUCCAGUAAGAGGUUCGAUCAGGCAGGGAAGAAAAGAUACGUCAAGCAGGUGACGGGUCGGCACAAUGACACCGACCUGCAUUUGGCUGCGCAGCGCGGCGAUCUGGCGGCGGUUAAGCAGAUUCUCGGUGAAAUCGAUGAACAGAUGGUCGGUACGCUUACUGAUGCGGAUUUUGAUGCUGAGGUGGCGAAAAUAAGGUCGGCGGUUGUGAACGAGGUGAACGAGUUAGAAGAAACUGCUCUAUUUACCGCAGCCGAAAAGGGACACCUUGAUGUAGUGACGGAGCUGUUGAAAUAUUCAACUAAAGAAAGCACUUCAAGGAAAAAUCGAUCUGGCUUCAAUCCGUUGCAUAUAGCUGCGAGUAAUGGGCAUCAUGCCAUUGUUCAGGUGCUACUAGACCAUGACCCAGAACUAAUUAAAACAGUUGGUACAUCAAACUCAACACCUCUUGCAACUGCAGCUUCCAGAGGGCAUACAGCAGUAGUUAAUGUAUUGCUAUCAAAAGAUUCUAGCUUACUAGAGAUUUCCCGGUCCAAUGGGAAAAAUGCAUUGCAUUUGUCUGCCCGACAAGGUUAUGUUGACAUUGUAAAAGCAUUACUUGAAAAAGACCCACAAUUGGCUCGUAGAACUGACAAGAAAGGGCAAACUGCAUUGCAUAUGGCUGUUAAAGGGACUAGCAGUGAAGUGGUAAGGUUGCUCCUUGAAGCAGAUGCAGCCAUAGUGAUGCUUCCAGACAGACAUGGCAACACAGCAUUACAUGUGGCAACCAGGAAAAAGCGACCAGAGAUAGUAGGUGAGCUAUUGCUCCUUCAUGACACUAAUGUCAAUGCACUGACCCGAGACCACAAAACAGCCUUUGACAUAGUAGAAGGACUUCCUCUUUCUGAAGAGUCCUCAGAGAUAAAGGAGUUAUUGGCCCGCUUUGGAGCAGUCAGGGCUGAUGAACUUAACCUACCAAGGGAUGAAUUGAGGCAGACUGUGACGGAGAUCAAGAAAGAAGUCCAUUCCCAGCUUGAACAAGCGAGGAAAACCAACAAGAACGUCCACGGGAUUGCUAAGGAGCUUCGGAGACUGCAUAGGCAAGCGAUUAACAAUGCUACCAACUCUGUAACAGUAGUUGCUGUUCUCUUUGCUACAGUGGCUUUUGCAGCUAUCUUCACUGUACCUGGUGGAAGCUAUGAUAGUGGGAUGGCGGUGGUUGUGAGCCAUACAUCUUUCAAGAUCUUCUUAUUAUUUAAUGCUGUUGCACUUUUCACAUCCCUGGCGGUGGUGGUUGUACAGAUCACGGUGGUUAGAGGGGAGGCAAAAGCAGAGAGGCGGGUUGUGGAGGUGAUCAACAAGCUGAUGUGGUUGGCAUCUGUGUGCACCUCUAUUUCAUUUAUUGCUUCAUCUUAUAUAGUAGUAGGUAGGCAUAACCGGUGGGCAUCCAUUCUGGUUACAGCUAUAGGAGGAGUCAUAAUGGUAGGAGUUCUUGGCACCAUGACUUACUAUGUAGUUAAGUCCAAACGGACUCGAAAAAUCAGGAAGAAGGAGAAGUCUUGCAGAAAGAGUGGGUCCUUCUCGUGGCAUCAUUCGGAGUUUUCUGAUUCGGAAGUGAACCCUAUUUAUGCUAUCUAGUGUGAGGAAGGAAUGCCCAACGGCGCUGUAUUUGCCCUUUUCGUACUUAACAUCAACAACAAGAAGAAAAAGUUUCUGUUGCACAGUUCACUGUAUAUAUUAACUUUUAUCUCUGGGGAAUCAGGAUGAAGCCAUAAAGAUAUGAGCCUUGCCAUGUGACUUUGUGGUAGAGGACAUAGGAGUGUUCGAUGUCCAACUCCUUCCACCAACACUUUUCUUCCACUAUCACUUCAUCCUUUUUCGAUCAAAGUCCUUUCUCAGAAAAUAGUACCGUAUUAUACUAGUGGAUGUGGAUCCCCACUCUCCAACCUUCCUUGUAUAAUUUGUAUUGUGGAGGCACAUAAGAAGAUCUAGCAAGCCGUGAAAUGCUACCAACACCAGUACUAGCAGAAGAACCAAUAGCUGGCUUCUCGGUUGCAGAUUCGGCAACAUCAGCCCAUGAAGUUCGCACAGGAACAAUCUGGAUAGGAUUGCCUGAAUAGGAACAAAAAGGAAGCGACUUCGGACAAUUUCAUGCCCAUGCACCGAGCAGAGACCUCCACAUCUUUGAAUGUUUGACCGGUUUGGGUCGUCGCCCACGGUCUCUCUUGCUACAGCUAUUCAGCCUGGGGAGACAGAGAUCUUUGUUGUUAAGUCCGUCGAGCUCUUGCGGUCUGAGUUCUUGCAGAGGGAGCAGAGGAUUCUUUCUUCUCUCAGGUGUUCUGGUAUUGUUGGGUAUAGAGGCUGUUCGCUAUAGCAGCAUGUUGUUCCAGCUUGCUUCUUUGCCAAACAAGCAGCACCAACAGCACCUCCAGAUUCCAGUCCUCAAGGGAGAUGAGAUGUUGAAGAACAUCUUCUUGGAGGUUAAGAAGAAAUUUAAUGCAGCCUUGGGUGUACUUUGGAAGGAGAAGAUUAGAAUAGAUCCAGAUGAUCCAGUUGAAGUUGUUCAGUAUGCAAAGGUCAUGAAGACUGAAAGAAAAGGUAGACUUGUUCUCAGAGUCCCAACGGAUUCAGUACACUAUUCAGAUACACACAAGGUAUUCGAGAUGCUCUAAUAUAUCUGUUGACAUUGAAGGAGAUACCAAUCGCCUCACUGAUGACUUGGUGCAGAGGCUCUAGAAGCUACUCCUGAGGUCUGACAAAAAGGGAAUGGCUCUUCUUAUGGAUUCACAUCUCCGCCCCACAGCACACCCCCGCCGUGUAUUGGGAACAUCUCCUGAUGAUAGUACCA